rnacentral:rRNA from 1 species
UCUACCUAGUAGUACGGAAUAAUUGUUGGAAACGGCAACUAAUACCGUAUACGCCCUACGGGGGAAAAAUUUAUUGCUAUUAGAUGAGCCUAUAUUAGAUUAGCUAGUUGGUGGAGUAAUAGCCUACCAAGGCAAUGAUCUAUAGCUGAUCUGAGAGGAUGAUCAGCCACACUGGAACUGAGAUACGGUCCAGACUCCUACGGGAGGCAGCAGUGGGGAAUAUUGGACAAUGGGCGAAAGCCUGAUCCAGCUAUGCCGCAUGAGUGAAGAAGGCCUUUGGGUUGUAAAGCUCUUUUAGUGAGGAAGAUAAUGACGGUACUCACAGAAGAAGUCCUGGCUAACUCCGUGCCAGCAGCCGCGGUAAUACGGAGAGGGCUAGCGUUAUUCGGAAUUAUUGGGCGUAAAGGGCGCGUAGGCUGAUUAAUAAGUUAAAAGUGAAAUCCCGAGGCUUAACCUUGGAAUUGCUUUUAAAACUAUUAAUCUAGAGAUUGAAAGAGGAUAGAGGAAUUCCUGAUGUAGAGGUAAAAUUCGUAAAUAUUAGGAGGAACACCAGUGGCGAAGGCGUCUAUCUGGUUCAAAUCUGACGCUGAGGCGCGAAGGCGUGGGGAGCAAACAGGAUUAGAUACCCUGGUAGUCCACGCUAUAAACGAUGAAUGUUAAAUAUGGGAAGUUUACUUUCUGUAUUACAGCUA